CUGGCGAGCGCCUGUCAGAGGACCUACAAAAUCUGUGUUAGUGUUGUCUGAGUAUCAUUUAAUAAUUAAAACUUUCAACAACGGAUCUCUUGGUUCUGGCAUCGAUGAAGAACGCAGCGAAAUGCGAUAAGUAAUGUGAAUUGCAGAAUUCAGUGAAUCAUCGAAUCUUUGAACGCACAUUGCGCCCUCUGGUAUUCCGGAGGGCAUGCCUGUUCGAGCGUCAUAAGACCACUCAAGCCCAGCUUGGUGUUGGGACGCGCCCCGGCGCUCCUCAAAAUCAGUGGCGGCUCGGCUCAGCUUCAUGCGUAGUAAAAUGUCUCGCUAUGGACGCUGGGCUGGCGCCUGCCAGAAGCCUAAUUUUUACAGGUUGACCUCGGAUCAGGUAGG
rnacentral:rRNA from 1 species